rnacentral:rRNA from 1 species
UGCGCAGGCGGGCUUGUAAGUCAGUGGUGAAAUACUGCCGCUUAACGGUAGAACUGCCAUUGAUACUGCAAGUCUUGAGUAUGGUUGAGGUAGGCGGAAUGUGUUGUGUAGCGGUGAAAUGCAUAGAUAUGACACAGAACUCCAAUUGCGAAGGCAGCUUACUAAGCCAUUACUGACGCUGGGGCACGAAAGCGUGGGGAGCGAACAGGAUUAGAUACCCUGGUAGUCC